rnacentral:rRNA from 1 species
GACGAACGCUGGCGGCGUGCCUAAUACAUCCACGUAGGACGCAGUUGCGAACGGGUGAUUAACGCGUAGGUAACUACCUAUUAGUGGGGGAUAACUAUUGGAAACGAUAGCUAAUACCGCAUACUAGUAGAUGGACCUGCUUUGUAUUAGCUAGGAGGUAGGGUAAUGGCCUACCUAGGCAACGAUACAUAGCCGACCUGAGAGGGGGAGCGGGCAAACUGGGACUGGGACAGGGCCCAGAAUGAUAAGGGAGGGAGCAGUAGGGAAGCUACGGAAAUGGGGGGAAACCGGAACGAGAAACGCCGGGGGAGGGAAGAAGGGAGAGGGAACGUAAAGCUCUGUUGUUAAGGAAGCGGAAGUUAACCAGAAAGGGACGGCUAACUACGUGCCAGCAGCCGCGGUAAUAC